rnacentral:lncRNA from 1 species
AAUACUAUAUGAAGAUCUUCAAUAAAUGUCAUAAAAACCCAGUGAGAUCUUGACUCCUUACCCCAACUCUGCUGGAUUCACUGGAAUUUUCUGUCAAACACAUUGCUGAAUUCAUGCAUAAAUGACAAACUCUAGAAUCUGAUAACUACCUCUGAUGGGCUUCUUCUUACUGAUCACAAAACAAAAAGGCCAAAUGUCUUUAAAAUGGGCUUCAGAAAUGCCAGUGUCAUAACUACAUGAAGGGAGAGAGAAGGCCAGACUUGCCAGGAUAGAUCUGGAGAUUUUAACCAAAUAGAAGGUGUGGGUGAGAGGAGGUAGUAUCCUUGAUCAUCCAGCAUCUGGGAUGUAUGAUGAUGCUGAGAAAAGUCUCAUGAAUAUUGAAAGAGUUGGUUGAAAUGUACACUCCACCUAUGUACCACAUAUUACCGCUGCUACCAUAUAAUUACGCAUGAAGGUUUCAUUUGUCAAUUUCUCCCACACCCUCCAGAAUCUAUCUGAAUAUAAAGUUGCCUUUGAAACUGCAAUGCAAUAGAGGCAGUCUUUAUUAUGAAGAAAUAUGUAACUUCUUUUUGUACCUUUUAGAUGAAAUCAGUUGUCACUAAAUAACUAAUGUACCCAAAUCUCUGUGGCCAACUCAGUAAAAAUUAAUUUGAAUUAAGAAGUUGCUGCUUUUGGAAUGUCCACCUGUAAUUUACGGUUUCUGCUUAUGGGGAGGGAGGAAGGGAGGAGCUUUGUUCUUAAAAAAGGGAGCUUAUUUGGAGAAGAAAAUGGAACACAGAA